rnacentral:misc_RNA from 1 species
UCCUGCCCAGUGACAAGUUUCAACGGCCGCGGUAUCCUAACCGUGCAAAGGUAGCAUAAUCACUUGCCUAUUAAUUGUAGGCUAGAAUGAAAGGACCAACGAAAUAAAACCUGUCUCUAUAAGUAACCUAAAAAUUAAUCUCUAACUGAAGAGUGUUAGAUAGUGUCGAAGGACAAGAAGACCCUAUAGAGCUUCAUUUUAACAAAAAUAAAUGUUUUGCUAAAAUUCGGUUGGGGCGACCCAGGAUAUGGCAAUCAUCCUUAAAUAAAAGAUAUAUGUAUCAAAAAAUGACCCUUAUUAAAGAUCACAAAAACAAGCUACCUUAGGGAUAACAGGCUAAUCCCGCUAAAGAGUUCUUAUCUACAGUGGGGGUUGGCACCUCGAUGUUGGCUUAGGGAAACUGUGUGAUGCAAAAGUCACAUAAAGAUGGUUUGUUCAACCAAUAAAACCCUACAUGAGCUGAGUUCAGACCGGCGCAAGCCAGGUUAGUUUCUAUCCUCGAUCAAAAAUCUGUCUAUAGUACGAAAGGACCUAGAUAAGAAUAAAUAUUAUACUAACAGGAACAAAUAUAACAACCAGUAAUAAAUAAAUUCCAUAAACUAUGAAGUGAGUUGGCAGAAUAGUGCAAUCGACUUAGGAUCGAUUCAUGGGCAAUGCCCACCCACUACCUGCAACUUAGUUUAUCUAGAACAGUCAACUUGCACUUGAUAAGAGAGGCCCCUCAGUAGCGGCUUGAUGUUUUGGAAACACUAGACCUUGAACGCCUACUUAAGAUGUUCGACUCAUC